rnacentral:rRNA from 1 species
GAUGAACGCUGGCGGCGUGCCUAAUACAUGCAAGUCGAGCGAACGGACGAGAAGCUUGCUUCUCUGAUGUUAGCGGCGGACGGGUGAGUAACACGUGGAUAACCUACCUAUAAGACUGGGAUAACUUCGGGAAACCGGAGCUAAUACCGGAUAAUAUUUUGAACCGCAUGGUUCAAAAGUGAAAGACGGUCUUGCUGUCACUUAUAGAUGGAUCCGCGCUGCAUUAGCUAGUUGGUAAGGUAACGGCUUACCAAGGCAACGAUGCAUAGCCGACCUGAGAGGGUGAUCGGCCAAACUGGAACUGAGACACGGUCCAGACUCCUACGGGAGGCAGCAGGAGGGAAGCUUCCGCAAUGGGCGAAAGCCUGACGGAGCAACGCCGCGUGAGUGAUGAAGGGCUUCGGAUCGUAAAACUCUGUUAUUAGGGAAGAACAUAUGUGUAAGUAACUGUGCACAUCUUGACGGUACCUAAUCAGAAAGCCACGGCUAACUACGU